rnacentral:tRNA from 1 species
GCGGGCGUAGCUCAGCGGUAGAGCGCAACCUUGCCAAGGUUGAAGUCGUGAGUUCGAUCCUCAUCGCCCGCUCCA